rnacentral:rRNA from 1 species
GUUCAGAUGUGAAAGACCCGGGGCGUCAACCUCGGAACUGCAUUUGUAAACUAGGCAGACUAGAGUACUGUAGAGGGGGGUAGGAAUUUCAGGUGUAGCGGUGAAAUAGCGUAGAGAUCUGAAGGAAUACCGGUGGCGAAGGCGGCCCCCUCGGACAGAUACUGACACUCAGAUGCGAAAGCGUGGGGAGCAAACAGGAUUAGAUACCCUGGUAG